rnacentral:rRNA from 1 species
UUUAGCUUCCUACGGGAGGCUGCAGUGGGGAAUCUUGCGCAAUGGGCGAAAGCCUGACGCAGCCAUGCCGCGUGAAUGAUGAAGGUCUUAGGAUUGUAAAAUUCUUUCACCGGGGACGAUAAUGACGGUACCCGGAGAAGAAGCCCCGGCUAACUUCGUGCCAGCAGCCGCGGUAAUACGAAGGGGGCUAGCGUUGCUCGGAAUUACUGGGCGUAAAGGGAGCGUAGGCGGACAUUUAAGUCAGGGGUGAAAUCCCGGGGCUCAACCUCGGAAUUGCCUUUGAUACUGGGUGUCUUGAGUAUGAGAGAGGUGUGUGGAACUCCGAGUGUAGAGGUGAAAUUCGUAGAUAUUCGGAAGAACACCAGUGGCGAAGGCGACACACUGGCUCAUUACUGACGCUGAGGCUCGAAAGCGUGGGGAGCAAACAGGAUUAGAUACCCUUGUAGUCGAAUUCUU